rnacentral:rRNA from 1 species
AGAGUUUGAUCCUGGCUCAGGAUGAACGCUGGCGGCGCGCCUAACACAUGCAAGUCGAACGGAGAUUAAAAGUUUGAUUCUUCGGAUGAAAACAUUUAAUCUUAGUGGCGAACGGGUGAGUAACGCGUGAGUAACCUGCCUUAAAGAGGGGGACCACAGUUGGAAACAACUGCUAAUACCGCAUAAGCCCACGGGGUCGCAUGGCCUUGUGAGAAAAGAUUUUAUCGCUUUAAUAUGGACUCGCGUCUGAUUAGCUAGUUGGUGGGGUAACGGCCUACCAAGGCGACGAUCAGUAGCCGGACUGAGAGGUUGAUCGGCCACAUUGGGACUGAGACACGGCCCAGACUCCUACGGGAGGCAGCAGUGGGGGAUAUUGCAAAAUGGGCGCAAGCCUGAUGCAGCGACGCCGCGUGAGUGAAGAAGUAUUUCGGUAUGUAAAGCUCUAUCAGCAGGGAAGAAAGGCCCUUUUAGGGAGAUGACGGUACCUGACUAAGAAGCCCCGGCUAAUUACGUGCCAGCAGCCGCGGUAAUACGUAGGGGGCAAGCGUUAUCCGGAUUUACUGGGUGUAAAGGGAGCGCAGACGGAACUGCAAGUCUGAUGUGAAAGCCCGGGGCUCAACCGCGGGACUGCAUCGGAUACUGUAGAUCUGGAGUGCCGGAGGGGCAAGCGGAAUUCCUGGUGUAGCGGUGAAAUGCGUAGAUAUCAGGAGGAACACCGGCGGCGAAGGCGGCUUGCUGGACGGCAACUGACGUUGAGGCUCGAAAGCGUGGGGAGCAAACAGGAAAAGAUACCCUGGUAGUCCACGCUGUA